AGCGAACGCUGGCGGCAGGCUUAACACAUGCAAGUCGAGCGGGCACUUCGGUGUCAGCGGCAGACGGGUGAGUAACACGUGGGAACGUACCCUUUGGUUCGGAAUAACGCUGGGAAACUAGCGCUAAUACCGGAUACGCCCUUUUGGGGAAAGGCUUGCUGCCGAAGGAUCGGCCCGCGUCUGAUUAGCUAGUUGGUGGGGUAAUGGCCUACCAAGGCGACGAUCAGUAGCUGGUCUGAGAGGAUGAUCAGCCACACUGGGACUGAGACACGGCCCAGACUCCUACGGGAGGCAGCAGUGGGGAAUAUUGGACAAUGGGCGCAAGCCUGACCCAGCCAUGCCGCGUGAGUGAUGAGGGCCUUAGGGUUGUAAAGCUCUUUUGUCCGGGACGAUAAUGACGGUACCGGAAGAAUAAGCCCCGGCUAACUUCGUG
rnacentral:rRNA from 1 species